AGAGUUUGAUCCUGACUCAGGAUGAACGCUAGCGGCAGGCCUAAUACAUGCAAGUCGGACGGUAGCCGACCCUUCGGGGCCGGCGAGAGUGGCGGACGGGUGCGUAACGCGUAUGCAACCAACCCCCCACAGCGGGACAGCCGGUGGAAACGCCGGGCAAUCCCGCAUGCCGCCGUGUCGGGGCAUCCCGGCAUGGCGAAAGGCUACGGCCGGUGGGGGACGGGCAUGCGUGCCAUUAGCUGGUUGGCGGGGCGACGGCCCACCAAGGCGACGAUGGCUAGGGGAUCUGAGAGGACGGUCCCCCACACUGGUACUGAGACACGGACCAGACUCCUGCGGGAGGCAGCAGUAAGGGAUAUUGGGCAAUGGGGGGAACCCUGACCCAGCCAUGCCGCGUGAGGGAAUGGGGCCCUACGGGUCGUGAACCUCUUUUGCCGGGGGACAACGGCGGCGUCGAGAACGCCGCGUGCGGGUACCCGGCGAAUAAGCGUCGGCUAACUCCGUGCCAGCAGCCGCGGUAAUACGGAGGACGCGAGCGUUAUCCGGAUUCAUUGGGUUUAAAGGGUGCGCAGGCGGCCUGCCAAGUCAGCGGUGAAAGCCCGGGGCCCAACCCCGGAAGUGCCGUUGAUACUGUCGGGCUGGAAUGCGGUCGAGGCGGGCGGAACGUGGCGUGUAGCGGUGAAAUGCGUAGAUAUGCCACAGAACGCCGAUAGCGGAGGCAGCUCGCCAGGCCUGCAUUGACGCUCGGGCACGAAAGCGUGGGGAUCGAACAAGAUUAGAUACCCUGGUAGUCCACGCCGUAAACGAUCCCAAAUGGUCGUCGGCGGCAAACGGUAAGCGGCCGAGAGGAAGAGAUAAGCGCCCCCUCCUGGGGUGUACGGUCGCAAGGCGGAAAAAUCAAAAGAAUAGUCGGGGGGCCGCACAAGCGGUGGGGCAUGUGGUUUAAUUCGAUGAUACACGAGGAACAUUACCCGGGCUUGAAAUGGCGGCCGAUGAGGGGGAGAGCCCGAGGCGCGCGAGGGGGCCGCCAGAGGUGAUGCAUGGUUUUUGUUAGCUCGUGCAGUGAGGUGUUGGGUCAAGUCCCAUAACGAGGGCAACCCCUGCUCCCAGUUGCCAGCGGUAUGGCCGGGCACUCUGGGCGGGCUGCCCGCGCAAGCAGAGAGGAAGGCGGGGAGGACGUCAAAUCAGCUCGGCCCUUACGUCCGGGGGGACACACGUGAUACAAUGACCGGCACAGAGGGAAGCCACCCCCCGAGGGGGAGGGGAUCCGGAAAGCCGGUCACAGUCCGGAUCGGGGGUUGCAACCCGCCCCCGCGAAGCUGGAAUCGGUAGUAAUUGCGCAUCAGCCAUGGCGCGGUGAAUACAAUCCUUGGCCUUGUACACACCGCCCGUCA
rnacentral:rRNA from 1 species